CAGUAGCCGCGGUAAUACGAAGGGUGCAAGCGUUAAUCGGAAUUACUGGGCGUAAAGCGUGCGUAGGCGGUUUGUUAAGUCUGUUGUGAAAUCCCCGGGCUUAACCUGGGAACUGCGCUUGUGACUGCACAGCUAGAGUAUGGCAGAGGGGGGUGGAAUUCCACGUGUAGCAGUGAAAUGCGUAGAGAUCGGAAGGAACAUCUGUGGCGAAGGUGACUAUCUGGGCCAACACUGACACUGAGGCACGAAAGCGUGGGGAGCAAACAGGAUUAGAUACCCCUGUAGUCCCUGUCUCUUAUAC
rnacentral:rRNA from 1 species